AACGAACGCUGGCGGCAUGCCUAACACAUGCAAGUCGAACGAGACCUUCGGGUCUAGUGGCGCACGGGUGCGUAACGCGUGGGAACCUGCCCUUAGGUUCGGAAUAACUCCCCGAAAGGGGUGCUAAUACCGGAUAAUGUCUUCGGACCAAAGAUUUAUCGCCUUUGGAUGGGCCCGCGUUGGAUUAGCUAGUUGGUAGGGUAAAAGCCUACCAAGGCGACGAUCCAUAGCUGGUCUGAGAGGAUGAUCAGCCAGACUGGGACUGAGACACGGCCCAGACUCCUGCGGGAGGCAGCAGUGGGGAAUAUUGGACAAUGGGCGAAAGCCUGAUCCAGCAAUGCCGCGUGAGUGAUGAAGGCCUUAGGGUUGUAAAGCUCUUUUACCCGGGAUGAUAAUGACAGUACCGGGAGAAUAAGCUCCGGCUAACUCCGU
rnacentral:rRNA from 1 species